GCCUGGGUGGCUCAGUCAGUUGAGCGUCUGACUUCAGCUCAGGUUGUGGUCUCACAGUCCAUGGGUUCAAACCCCACAUCAGGCU
rnacentral:tRNA from 1 species